UCUAGGCUCUCUCCUAGACCUUUGCUUUGCUAACAGGGAUCAAGUAGGCCACAAUGUUUUUAGUGGGUGUUGGCUAGCAUAGAAGUAUUUUCUGAAAGUUUCCCGUUUCCCUUGGGUGCUCCUGGUUCUUUAAGUAGAGAAAGCAAGAUUCUUUUGUCUGAAUCUAUGGUGGUUCCAAGUUGAUAGUUUCCUCAUUGUGUCAUUCCUUUGUCCUGUGGUUUCCUACUGGUCUGAUUUCUUCUCUGCAUCUUUGAGAGUUUUCUUAUAUUUGUUUUAUAUACAUUGUCUAGGGUUUUUAGCUAUACCUAGAAGGAAUAACAGGGUACAUGAAUUUCAUCUUCCUGGAAGCAGAAGAUAAAAGUUACAGUGCCCCAGGUCCCAGAUAAAGGGCACUGUAGGUGGUGACAGAGAGCAUGGCUUUGUGAUGUGGAAAUACACAGAUAACCAGGUGGCUCAAGCAAAUAACUAGCCAGUUUCCUAUUAAACUUCUCAGCUGCCACCUGUAAAGAAACUCAAGCAGUCCUACACAAAGGUCCACACCAAGAAAAACCAAAGCCUCCUGCUAAUGACCAGCAUCAACUUACACAUUGUACAGAGGAAGAAACUGAGGCAAAAACGAUGUUUUCCUGCUUCAGUAUCAGCCAGCAAAAGGAGAACUUCAGAGAAAGAAAGAAAGAAAGAAAGAAAACCAGAGAAAGAACAAAAGAAUCGAUCCUUCACUUUGAAUUUCAAAUAGCAUAGGGUCUGACAUAAGACAAAAGAUUAAACAGAA